rnacentral:rRNA from 1 species
UACGUAGGGGGCAAGCGUUGUCCGGAAUCAUUGGGCGUAAAGAGCGUGUAGGCGGCCCGAUAAGUCCGCUGUGAAAGUCCAGGGCUCAACCCUGGGAUGCCGGUGGAUACUGUCGGGCUCGAGUCCGGAAGAGGAGUGUGGAAUUCCUGGUGUAGCGGUGAAAUGCGCAGAUAUCAGGAGGAACACCAAUAGCGAAGGCAGCUCGCUGGGACGGUACUGACGCUAAGGCGCGAAGGCCAGGGGAGCAAACGGG